CGCAGGCCGACGCCGACUCGCUCGCCGCGCAGCUGCACCGCCGCGCCGCCGACCUCGACCGGAAGGAUCGAGUUAUCGCCGACAUGCAGCGAGAGAGCCAGCGACUGGUCGCCGAGUUCGAGGCGCGACGCACCGCGCUCGAGGGGACCGCGGCGGACCAGCAGAGAGAGUAACCGCUGCGCUGUACCACUCGCACACCACUCACACGCGGCUGUCGACAGAUGAGGUACUGAGCGGCGUGCGUUGCAGGUGGGAGCGGCGCGUGGCGGCGGCGACGGAGGCGCGGCGCGAGGCGGAGGCGGAGGCGGCGCGGGCCGAGCGCGCAUGCGCAGAGCUGCAGAGCCAGCUCCAGCUGUUGCAGCACAAGCUCUCGGAGGCAGAGGAACGCAUUGACCGUUUGACUCAGUCGACAACGACUCUCUCGGACGCCAACGAGCGACUGAUCGGCGAGCUCGACGACAAGUCGCAGGUGAACUCGCGGCGCCGCGCGUCUGCACUCGCACUGCGCGCGGCCUCCAUGUGCAGCAGUCAUGUG
rnacentral:lncRNA from 1 species